rnacentral:lncRNA from 10 species
AUUGCCCUGACUCUGUUCUUGACCAACCUGCUGUGUAAGAACCAUGGCUUCUAGUGGUUGUUCAAGACUUGGCAGGUGAACUGAACUCUAAAAUGAUGUUUUACAGUAGGACAAAUCUUACUCUGGCUGGAUCUGAAUGCAGCAGCUUCACCUGGGAGGUAGAUUGCAUGUGGAGGAGGAGAGGCAAGAGUAUGCCAGCUCAGUCUGAAACUGGCUUAAGUCCCAAAUCACCAAUAACUUUUCCGAAAGUGAACCCCAUUUCAAUGACCAACCUCAAGCUGACCUUCAGGACUUGGCUUCACAGUCAAAGGGCCAGACCCCCACCAGGAAUGGGAAUGUCUUCAGGUGCACUUGGCCUGCAAACUCAGUCCGGUGGAGAUGGUGGUGGUGAGAUGCAGGGAGAUGGAGAGAAAAAUGGGAGCACCACCUUUCUUUACAAAGCCAAAAGCUACAUCCCCAUUGACCUAGAUGUCAUAAGAGUUUUUUUUCCCCAAAGGGCACCAUGAUGGAGAAUCGGCUUUCCCAAGGACACACAUACCUUUGUCACACCAAGCACCACCUUGUCCUCAGACUGUUCUUGUACUGGCUUUGUUUACAAGCCAGAUUUUUUUUAAAAUGAGAAAAAUCAAAUGUUCACUUAAGAAGUGAAAUUUGAAUAAAAUUACAGUUUCAGGCAAAGCCUAUAUUAUUUUUAAAAUCAGCGAAUAAAGCAAGGGAUAUUAAAUCAUGAUCUUCACCU